rnacentral:rRNA from 1 species
UUACCCCAUCCGUCAUUAGAUGCCUCCGGUGUUACCCAUGACAACGAGGGAUCUAAGAGGAUACAGAGAAACUCUCGUAGCCGAGCAUGUUAUCACAAGAAAAAUGAGGAACUAACGGUUGAUGAUAGAGAUGAUUUGAAUGAAAAGAUACGAGGGAAGCGCGUGCAGCGCCGCAAAAGCAGGUCGGAUAUUGAGAAGGGGCAGUCAAGUGCUCAAAGGAAGGCCUGUUAUGCUAAAAGGAAGAAUACCCCGUGCAAAGAAUCUCUCGCACUCCCUCGCCCAGACAUUACUAACUCAACAGCUGAUAGUCUCGCGAUCCCCCUCUCUCGGGCUGCCGACGAUGAUUCAUCGGAUGGCGACCCUCCCCCGGGCAUGCCGAAUUACGGUGUUUGCACCCCUGACCACAUCAAUGUGUUCCCAGAGCCCAUCAUGGGCGAUGAGCCGACACCAGCCGAAAUGAUGGAUGAGGAGUACUACUUGUAUCGUGACCAAGGAUCCGAUAAUGAUGCAUUCGAGGAUGACGAGGAAGCUAGCAUGACGUCUUUUAUAUCUGGCGAGGUUGAUCCAUUAGACUGUGUGUACACAAACAUACCAGACCACACCCACAUCCUGAAGCUCGACACAAACUGCAAACACUGCAAGGCCAGAAAGUUUGUUUCUGAGACUGACGGAUUCUGUUGUCGCAAUGGACAGAUCGAGCUAAAACAACCGGAACCAAUCCCAGAGCUUAUGAGGCUAUGGUCCACCAUG